UACGGAGGAUGCGAGCGUUAUCCGGAUUUAUUGGGUUUAAAGGGUGCGCAGGCGGAGGCACAAGUCAGCGGUAAAAUCGCGGGGCUCAACCCCGCUCCGCCGUUGAAACUGUGUCCCUUGAGUGCGCGAAGGGUAGGCGGAAUGCGUGGUGUAGCGGUGAAAUGCAUAGAUAUCACGCAGAACUCCGAUCGCGAAGGCAGCCUACCGGCGCGCUACUGACGCUCAUGCACGAAAGCGUGGGUACCGAACAGG
rnacentral:rRNA from 1 species